GAUGAAGAACGUAGCGAAAUGCGAUAAGUAAUGUGAAUUGCAGAAUUCAGUGAAUCAUCGAAUCUUUGAACGCACAUUGCGCCCGCCAGUAUUCUGGCGGGCAUGCCUGUCCGAGCGUCAUUUCAACCCUCGAACCCCUCCGGGGGGUCGGCGUUGGGGACCUCGGGAGCCCCUAAGACGGGAUCCCGGCCCCGAAAUACAGUGGCGGUCUCGCCGCAGCCUCUCCUGCGCAGUAGUUUGCACAACUCGCACCGGGAGCGCGGCGCGUCCACGUCCGUAAAACACCCAACUGCUGAAAUGUUGACCUCGGAUCAGGUAGGAAUACCCGCUGAACUUAAGCAUAUCAAUAAGCGGAGGA
rnacentral:misc_RNA from 1 species